rnacentral:rRNA from 1 species
AUUGAACGCUGGCGGCAGGCUUAACACAUGCAAGUCGAGCGGAGGUGAGGUGCUUGCACCUUAUCUUAGCGGCGGACGGGUGAGUAAUGCUUAGGAAUCUGCCUAUUAGUGGGGGACAACAUUCCGAAAGGAAUGCUAAUACCGCAUACGUCCUACGGGAGAAAGCAGGGGAUCUUCGGACCUUGCGCUAAUAGAUGAGCCUAAGUCGGAUUAGCUAGUUGGUGGGGUAAAGGCCUACCAAGGCGACGAUCUGUAGCGGGUCUGAGAGGAUGAUCCGCCACACUGGGACUGAGACACGGCCCAGACUCCUACGGGAGGCAGCAGUGGGGAAUAUUGGACAAUGGGGGGAACCCUGAUCCAGCCAUGCCGCGUGUGUGAAGAAGGCCUUAUGGUUGUAAAGCACUUUAAGCGAGGAGGAGGCUACUGAGACUAAUACUCUUGGAUAGUGGACGUUACUCGCAGAAUAAGCACCGGCUAACUACGUGCCAGCCGCCGCAGUAA